UUUUUAAAAUUACAUGUACCAUUGACUGAACAUUUUUUUUUCUUUCCAGGAAAGAAGUCUGCAUGUUUUCCAGCCUGUUUCUUUCUAGUGCUCUUGGCGGCAAAAAGAGAGAAUUGAAAGACCUAGAAAGCUAUAAUUAGCAGGCUUGGCAUUCAUCACUCCUUAUUCUAGAAUGCCAACAUCAUUUUCUCUCCAGAUGCUUCAUGCCUGCACUUUCUCUGUUUCCCAAGGGAACCCCAGGCACAUGAAGAGACCCCGGGGACUCACUUGUCCAGGUGCCAGACCGUGAAGGAGGCAGCCACAAGGCACUGGAAGCCCCCUGCCCACCUGCCAGCCCCCGCCUCAGUCAGAGGGAGCGGAGAGAGCCAGCUGGCCAUGCACCUCGUAAAUUCUAACCCCAGAAUCUGCGGGGGUGAGUUUUACAACAGCUUUUUAUUACCCAACAGUAGCAACCUAGAGGGAAAUUGACAUUUUUAUAAUAUUAUAAAAUUCUUUCAAUACCUGAUCUAGUUAACACUUUUACCUACUUAAGUCUCCUUAUGUCUUCCUAUGAAAAUUUUCUUCUUAAUAACUAUGCACAUCUUUUGCUAGAUUUAUUUGCUAAGUACUUAAUUUUGUUGUUGAAGCUGUUAUAAGUAGCAUCUCUAU
rnacentral:lncRNA from 1 species